rnacentral:ncRNA from 1 species
AUAGUUGCUAUGAAAAGGAAGAGUAAAAUAGAAACAAUUUUCAGAGAGGAUAUAUCAUAGGCUGAAAGUAUAUCUAAAAAUGACUAUUUGAAAACUACCUUGGAGCAGAGUUUAGUAGCUUAUAAGCGCUUAUAAGUAAAAGUACUCGGUUGACAACCUUAUAGUCAUCAAGAGGGCAAUGUUUAUAACAUGCCAACUUGGGUGGAACCGCGAAUGUUACUCGUCCCAUGA